rnacentral:rRNA from 1 species
GACGAACGCUGGCGGCGUGCCUAAUACAUGCAAGUAGAACGCUGAAGGAAGGAGCUUGCUCUUUCUGGAUGAGUUGCGAACGGGUGAGUAACGCGUAGGUAACCUGCCUGGUAGCGGGGGAUAACUAUUGGAAACGAUAGCUAAUACCGCAUAAAAUUGAUUAUUGCAUGAUAGUCAAUUAAAAGGUGCAACUGCACCACUACCAGAUGGACCUGCGUUGUAUUAGCUAGUUGGUGGGGUAACGGCUCACCAAGGCGACGAUACAUAGCCGACCUGAAAGGGGGAUCGGCCACACUGGGACUGGGACACGGCCCAGAAUCCUACGGGAGGCAGCAGUAGGGAAUCUUCGGCAAUGGACGGAAGUCUGACCGAGCAACGCCGCGUGAGUGAAGAAGGUUGUCGGAUCGUAAAGCUCUGUUGUAAGAGAAGAACGAGUGUGAGAGUGGAAAGUGCACACUGUGACGGUAUCUUACCAGAAAGGGACGGCUAACUACGUG